rnacentral:ncRNA from 1 species
UAGCUCCCUAUUUUCAUUUCAAAAGAAAAGAAGGGCACUGAAGUUUUCCCGAAAUCUCAGGAUUGCCUAAACUCCGACUAACAGAUGUUGUAACAAUCCAAAUUCCCCUUGAGCGAGGUUACAGUCCCUAGAAGGUGCUAGGCCUGUACGAGUGGUGAAACAUUUGGUUUGGUUGCACUUUGGAGUCGGGUUGUCUGAGAUCGCAACCCAGAGUGGGUGAUAAACCUCAUCUGAAGCUAAUUGCAGCCAGGAGACUGAUAGCAAACAAGUAUCGUGAGG